AUGCACGCUGGCGGCGUGCCUAAUACAUGCAAGUCGCGCGAACGGACGAGAAGCUUGCUUCUCUGAUGUUAGCGGCGGACGGGUGAGUAACACGUGGAUAACCUACCUAUAAGACUGGGAUUACUUCGGGAAACCGGAGCUAAUACCGGAUAAUAUUUUGAACCGCAUGGUUCAAAAGUGAAAGACGGUCUUGCUGUCACUUAUAGAUGGAUCCGCGCUGCAUUAGCUAGUUGGUAAGGUAACGGCUUACCAAGGCAACGAUGCAUAGCCGACCUGAGAGGGUGAUCGGCCACACUGGAACUGAGACACGGUCCAGACUCCUACGGGAGGCAGCAGUAGGGAAUCUUCCGCAAUGGGCGAAAGCCUGACGGAGCAACGCCGCGUGAGUGAUGAAGGUCUUCGGAUCGUAAAACUCUGUUAUUAGGGAAGAACAUAUGUGUAAGUAACUGUGCACAUCUUGACGGUACCUAAUCAGAAAGCCACGGCUAACUACGUG
rnacentral:rRNA from 1 species